GGGUGAAUAGUUUUUUUUAAAAAAAUUUACAAAUGGCGUCUGAUAGUUUUUCAAAUGAUUGAUAGACGAAAGAUAAGUUCAGAAGAUGGUGUUUAAAAAGGAGUUUCUAAGAAAAAGUUUGAAGAAGCAAAGCAAUAAAACACUGAUUUUAUAUUGGUUCACUCAACUGAGCUACAUUUAGUUUUCCCUUAAGAACUCUUAAGGGGUUCCACUAAUCUUUAAGAAUAUUACACGAGUUUUACCUCUCCAGGUUUAUAACGAGUAUUCUCAUCAUUCCUGUUUCACCUAGUCAGCACGAAUAG
rnacentral:lncRNA from 1 species